ensembl:lncRNA
AAAAGCUUACGGCACCUGGGAUUCCCAGGCGGUCUUCCAUCCAAGUACUAACCAGGCCCUACUCUGCUUAGCUUCUGAGAUCAGACGAGAUCAGGCGGAGCCAGAGAGGUAUGGCCGUAAGCAACUGUAUGUCCUCUACCUAAUCUUUUAAAAUGUGUCAAAGGUUUUGGAGAUUUGAUAAUGAAAAAGGAGUCACUUUCUAAGGCCUUCUCUGUGUCUUUUACAGAUAGAAAUGAAAAAGCAUACGGCACCUGGGAUUCCCAGGCGGUCUUCCAUCCCAGUACUAACCAGGCCCUACUCUGCUUAGCUUCUGAGAUCAGACGAGAUCAGGCGGAGCCAGAGAGGUAUGGCCGUAAGCAACUGUAUGUCCUCUACCUAAUCUUUUAAAAUGUGUCAAAGGUUUUGUAGUUUUGACAAUAAAAUGGAGUCACUUUCUAAGGCCUUCUCUGUGUCUUUUACAGAUAGAAAUGAAAAAGCUUACGGCACCUGGGAUUCCCAGGCGGUCUUCCAUCCAAGUACUAACCAGGCCCUACUCUGCUUAGCUUCUGAGAUCAGACGAGAUCAGGCGGAGCCAGAGAGGUAUGGCCGUAAGCAACUGUAUGUCCUCUACCUAAUCUUUUAAAAUGUGUCAAAGGUUUUGUAGUUUUGACAAUGAAAUGGAGUCACUUUCUAAGUUCUUCUCUGUGUCUUUUACAGAUAGAAAUGAAAAAGCUUACGGCACCUGGGAUUCCCAGGCGGUCUUCCAUCCAAGUACUAACCAGGCCCUACUCUGCUUAGCUUCUGAGAUCAGACGAGAUCAGGCGGAGCCAGAGAGGUAUGGCCGUAAGCAACUGUAUGUCCUCUUCCUAAUCUUUUAAAAUGUGUCAAAGGUUUUGGAGUUUUGACAAUGAAAUGGAGUCACUUUCUAAGUUCUUCUCUGUGUCUUUUACAGAUAGAAAUGAAAAAGCUUACGGCACCUGGGAUUCCCAGGCGGUCUUCCAUCCAAGUACUAACCAGGCCCUACUCUGCUUAGCUUCUGAG